GGUGAUGAUAAGCGGCGGACUGGUGAGUAACGCGUGGGUGAUCUACCUUGAGGAUGGGGAUAGCUGUUAGAAAUAGCAGGUAAUACCGAAUACGAUAGCUUUGCUAUGGCAGAGUUAUGAAAGAUGCUUUGGCAUCGCCUUAAGAUGAGCCCGCGUCCCAUUAGCUAGUUGGCGGUGUAAAGGACCACCAAGGCGAAGAUGGGUAGCCGGCCUGAGAGGGUGAACGGCCACAUUGGGACUGAGAUACGGCCCAAACUCCUACGGGAGGCAGCAGCUAAGAAUAUUCCGCAAUGGACGAAAGUCUGACGGAGCGACGCCGCGUGGAUGAGGAAGGCCGAAAGUGUUGUAAAAUCCUUUUAUCGCUGAAGAAUAAGUGGGGUAGGGAAUGACCUCAUGAUGACGCUAGGCGAUGAAUAAGCCCCGGCUAAUUAC
rnacentral:rRNA from 1 species